AUCGUCCGGUAUUGUGGAAUGUGGUAUGCUGACGAAUAUUAAUCGAUAAAAAACUACGUGAAUAGUUUCAGUUCACUUUGAAAUACGUACUGACUAAGCAUUCCGCUGGUCAUAGUCUUGUCCAGUCACAAAUUUCAACUGUACCUUUCAAAUGUUGUAUGCCAUAUUAUUACCAUAUUUGAAAUCGGCAAAAUACAAAUACGAAACACAGUAAGUCAAUGAAUCUACCAAUGUAAAGUUUCGUUUUAGGCUGAACAACAGGAUAUAUUGAAAGUUAGUGAAUAAAAUAUUCUGAAUUGGUUUACUAGACCAUCAGUGAAAAAAUCUAAGAGAAAAGAGAAAAUGUAUGUCAGCUUUCUUGUAAUUUCAAGAAAUAACAUUGUUCUGUUCCAGAUUAUCGAAGAGAAGAGUUUUCAUAUGUAUUUAUAUACUUCCAUCUGCAGUUCUCAACUAUAUUAUAGUACAACUCGAUAAAAUGGUUUGUGAAAUUUUUCUGAAUAAACUUCUGAAUUGUGUAGUUUCAA